rnacentral:rRNA from 1 species
GAUGAACGCUAGCGCUAGGCUUAACACAUGCAAGUCGAGGGGCAGCACAAGGUAGCUUGCUAUCUGGGUGGCGACCGGCGCACGGGUGCGUAACGCGUAUGCAACUUGCCCUAUACAGGAGGAUAACCCGUCGAAAGACGGACUAAUACUGCGUAUGCUCACAACUUGGCAUCAAGUGGUGAGGAAAGAAAUUCGGUAUAGGAUAGGCAUGCGUCCCAUUAGCUUGUUGGUGAGGUAACGGCUCACCAAGGCAACGAUGGGUAGGGGAACUGAGAGGUUUAUCCCCCACACUGGUACUGAGACACGGACCAGACUCCUACGGGAGGCAGCAGUGAGGAAUAUUGGUCAAGGGGCGCGAGCCUGAACCAGCCAAGUCGCGUGAAGGAGGACUGUCUUAUGGAUUGUAAACUUCUUUUAUACGGGAAUAACAAGAGUCACGUGUGACUCCCUGCAUGUACCGUAUGAAUAAGCAUCGGCUAACUCCGUG